UCCUCUCCCCUAGUGGAAAGAGGAGCAUUGAGCUCAUCAAGGACUUGUCAAUGCUUAUAAAUUGCAAGAGUUUCUUUAACGUUUCUCUGGUCUAGGACCCUGCGACAAUGUUUAUAGGUAAUGCCCGUAUAUUUUAGUUGUUCAUAAAAUUAAUAUUUUAUUUAAAUCUAAUGGAUUUUCUAUUUUUUUUAUAAAAGUCAUGGUCAAGGGGUUUUGAUUUGAAGAAGUGAUGACCAUGCCUAAGGCCUCUAAAGAUGUGAGGGAGGUCAACCUUGCUAAGGUAGUCCUCAAAACCCUAACAAGCAUCAAUGGGUAGAAACGAGAUAGGCUGACCCUUCCCUGACAAAGAAAAUAACAGAAACUACUAGAGACAUGUUGACCCAAAUAGCUUCUCUAAACACCUCGACCCCAUCAAUGAAUCCCAUUGUGGGACUGAGUCAAGCUCAAGAAUCUUUGUAGUCGAUUAAUGUGGUGGUGAGCAUCCCUUCUCCGAUGGUUUACGCGGGCCCCCUAGGUAAUCUAUCAUGGCAAGAGCAACUUCUCGACUAUUUUAGUGGUCCACGACAGCGCGUGAGUCUCGGCAACGGAAGGCAAGUCUUGUGGGGUUUGAUUGGAGUGCCUCAGCGGUGGUGGUCAUCGGAGAAGGCACAGUCAUCAUUGAAGAAGAAAGGUGAGCUUCCUUUUUGUGAAUAAUGUUGGCUUCUGGAUAACGUUGUCUAGUUUGUAAGUUAGUAGGUGUAAGUUCGGAAGUGUUUUGUAUAUGUAAAUCCAGAAUUUUGUUUGUCUUAUUUCCUUGAAACUUGCUUUCAUUCAUAUCUGAGGCCAUAUUUGAAAUGCAUAGGAACAUGGUGAGAAGUAGAAGAGGAGAGAUCUUCUAAGGUGGACCGCGUGCGACCAACUGCAUCUCUGUGAGAAGAAAGUGUGGGCAUCCUAGUAAUUCACUUGGAAAUGAGGAUGCUAAAGCUACUGUUGAAUAUAAGAAGUGGAAAUUAAGGAUGAAGGCUAUUAAGGAGAGUAGUCAUUGCUGGUUAAUUAUGAAGAGUAUGUGACAAGACAAUUAUCGGAUGGUUUGGUAAGUAAUGAAGAUUUUAUAUGACUGGUUGAUUAAGUGUGUUAUGUAUGUAUUAUAGUAAAAUUUUGAAAUGGUAUUUGUUGAUUAUUGUACGAUCGGG
rnacentral:lncRNA from 1 species